UACGGGGAGGCAAGCGUUGUUCGGAAUUACUGGGCGUAAAGGGCUCGUAGGCGGUUUGUCGCGUCGGGAGUGAAAAUCCAGGGCUUAACUCUGGACUGGCUUCCGAUACGGGCAGACUAGAGGUAUGCAGGGGAGAACGGAAUUCCUGGUGUAGCGGUGAAAUGCGCAGAUAUCAGGAGGAACACCGGUGGCGAAGGCGGUUCUCUGGGCAUUACCUGACGCUGAGGAGCGAAAGUGUGGGGAGCGAACAGG
rnacentral:rRNA from 1 species